GUUGUAUGGUUAAGUGACUAAGCGUACACGGUGGAUGCCUGGGCAGUCAGAGGCGAUGAAGGACGUACUAACUUGCGAUAAGCGCAGAUGAGGCAGUAAGAGCCGUUUGAGUCUGCGAUUUCCGAAUGGGGAAACCCAACUGCAUAAGCAGUUACUGUUAACUGAAUACAUAGGUUAACAGAGCAAACCGGGGGAACUGAAACAUCUAAGUACCCCGAGGAGAAGAAAUCAACCGAGAUUCCGGUAGUAGCGGCGAGCGAACCUGGAUUAGCCCUUAAGCACUCGGUGAAGUAGGUGAACAAGCUGGAAAGCUUGGCGAUACAGGGUGAUAGCCCCGUAACCGACGCUUCAUCGAGCGUGAAAUCGAGUAGGGCGGGACACGUGAUAUCCUGUCUGAAUAUGGGGGGACCAUCCUCCAAGGCUAAAUACUCCUGACUGACCGAUAGUGAACCAGUACCGUGAGGGAAAGGCGAAAAGAACCCCUGUGAGGGGAGUGAAAUAGAACCUGAAACCGUGUACGUACAAGCAGUAGGAGCACCUUCGUGGUGUGACUGCGUACCUUUUGUAUAAUGGGUCAGCGACUUAUAUUCAGUGGCAAGGUUAACCGUAUAGGGGAGCCGUAGCGAAAGCGAGUCUUAACUGGGCGCUCAGUCUCUGGAUAUAGACCCGAAACCGGGUGAUCUAGCCAUGGGCAGGUUGAAGGUUGAGUAACAUCAACUGGAGGACCGAACCGACUAAUGUUGAAAAAUUAGCGGAUGACUUGUGGCUAGGGGUGAAAGGCCAAUCAAACUCGGAGAUAGCUGGUUCUCCCCGAAAGCUAUUUAGGUAGCGCCUCGGACGAAUACUACUGGGGGUAGAGCACUGUUAAGGCUAGGGGGUCAUCCCGACUUACCAACCCUUUGCAAACUCCGAAUACCAGUAAGUACUAUCCGGGAGACACACGGCGGGUGCUAACGUCCGUCGUGGAGAGGGAAACAACCCAGACCGCCAGCUAAGGUCCCAAAGUAUUGCUAAGUGGGAAACGAUGUGGGAAGGCUCAGACAGCUAGGAUGUUGGCUUAGAAGCAGCCAUCAUUUAAAGAAAGCGUAAUAGCUCACUAGUCGAGUCGGCCUGCGCGGAAGAUGUAACGGGGCUAAGCAAUACACCGAAGCUGCGGCAAUAUCUUUUAGAUAUUGGGUAGGGGAGCGUUCUGUAAGCCGUUGAAGGUGAAUCGUAAGGUUUGCUGGAGGUAUCAGAAGUGCGAAUGCUGACAUGAGUAACGACAAAGGGGGUGAAAAACCUCCUCGCCGGAAGACCAAGGGUUCCUGUCCAACGUUAAUCGGGGCAGGGUGAGUCGACCCCUAAGGUGAGGCCGAAAGGCGUAAUCGAUGGGAAACGGGUUAAUAUUCCCGUACUUCUGACUAUUGCGAUGGGGGGACGGAGAAGGCUAGGUGGGCCAGGCGACGGUUGUCCUGGUUCAAGUGCGUAGGCUUGAGAGUUAGGUAAAUCCGGCUCUCUCUAAGGCUGAGACACGACGUCGAGCUGCUACGGCAGUGAAGUCAUUGAUGCCAUGCUUCCAGGAAAAGCCUCUAAGCUUCAGAUAGUCAGGAAUCGUACCCCAAACCGACACAGGUGGUCGGGUAGAGAAUACCAAGGCGCUUGAGAGAACUCGGGUGAAGGAACUAGGCAAAAUGGUACCGUAACUUCGGGAGAAGGUACGCUCUUGAUGGUGAAGUCCCUCGCGGAUGGAGCUGACGAGAGUCGCAGAUACCAGGUGGCUGCAACUGUUUAUUAAAAACACAGCACUGUGCAAAAUCGCAAGAUGACGUAUACGGUGUGACGCCUGCCCGGUGCCGGAAGGUUAAUUGAUGGGGUUAGCGCAAGCGAAGCUCUUGAUCGAAGCCCCGGUAAACGGCGGCCGUAACUAUAACGGUCCUAAGGUAGCGAAAUUCCUUGUCGGGUAAGUUCCGACCUGCACGAAUGGCGUAAUGAUGGCCACGCUGUCUCCACCCGAGACUCAGUGAAAUUGAAAUCGCUGUGAAGAUGCAGUGUACCCGCGGCUAGACGGAAAGACCCCGUGAACCUUUACUACAGCUUGGCACUGAACAUUGAACCUACAUGUGUAGGAUAGGUGGGAGGCUAUGAAGACGUGACGCCAGUUGCGUUGGAGCCGUCCUUGAAAUACCACCCUUGUAUGUUUGAUGUUCUAACUUAGACCCAUUAUCUGGGUUGAGGACAGUGCCUGGUGGGUAGUUUGACUGGGGCGGUCUCCUCCCAAAGAGUAACGGAGGAGCACGAAGGUGGGCUAAUCACGGUUGGACAUCGUGAGGUUAGUGCAAUGGCAUAAGCCCGCUUAACUGCGAGAAUGACGGUUCGAGCAGGUGCGAAAGCAGGUCAUAGUGAUCCGGUGGUUCUGUAUGGAAGGGCCAUCGCUCAACGGAUAAAAGGUACUCCGGGGAUAACAGGCUGAUACCGCCCAAGAGUUCAUAUCGACGGCGGUGUUUGGCACCUCGAUGUCGGCUCAUCACAUCCUGGGGCUGAAGUCGGUCCCAAGGGUAUGGCUGUUCGCCAUUUAAAGUGGUACGCGAGCUGGGUUUAGAACGUCGUGAGACAGUUCGGUCCCUAUCUGCCGUGGGCGUUGGAAGAUUGAAGGGGGCUGCUCCUAGUACGAGAGGACCGGAGUGGACGAACCUCUGGUGUUCGGGUUGUGUCGCCAGACGCAUUGCCCGGUAGCUAAGUUCGGAAUUGAUAAGCGCUGAAAGCAUCUAAGCGCGAAGCGAGCCCUGAGAUGAGUCUUCCCUGA
rnacentral:rRNA from 1 species